AACUAAAUAUGAACACAAUAAUUAAAUAAAAAUCAUAUCAAAUUUUAUGGGAUGCAGUUAAAACACUGCUUAGAGGAAACUUUAUAGCUGUAAACACUACUCUUAAUGGAAAAAAAUCUAAAAUCAAUUAUCCAAGUUUGCCUUUUAAAAAGGUAGAAAAAAAGAGAAAAUCAAAGCCAAAGUAAGCCAAAGAAAAUAAUAAAGAUCAAAGCGCAAAUCAAUAAAAUAGAAAACAGACAGCAAUGAAAAAUUGAUACAAUUAAAAUUUAGUUUCCUAAAUUUUCUUUAAAAAGGAAAAUUAGUAAAAGUUCACCUAAAAUGACCAAGAAAAAGAAUAACAUCAAUUACCAAAAUUAGGAACAAAGUAGAGUUUUUCACUAUAGAACACAGAGCUAUCAAAAUAUUUAUAAGACAAUGUUACAAAAAACUUUAUACCAAAUAGAUUACAUGAAAUAGACAAAUUUCUAGAAAGACACAAAUUACCAAAACUGAGUUAGGAAUACAUAGAAAAUCUGAAUAGACCUAUAUAAAGUAAAGAAAUUGUAAUUUAAAAUCUUCCCACAAAGAAAAAUCAAAGCCCAGAUGACUUCUCUGAUAAAUUCUAUCAAACAAACAUUUAAGCAAAAAGUAAUACCAAUCAAAACCCACAUACACACGCACACACACACACACACACACACACACACACUCUCUCUCUCUCUCUCUCUCUCUUUCAGAAAAUAGAAGCCAGAGGAACAUUUCCCAAUUCAAUUGAUGAGGUGACCACUACUUGGAUACUGAAGUCAGACAAUGACAUCACAAGGAAGAAAAACAAUAUGGUACAAUGUAAUUUUGUGAUAAUUUUUAACAUGUUAGCAAUAUCUGUUCUUUUACAGAGAUAAGAAAAACUUUCACUUGGUUUUAUUUAUAGAUACAGUAGAACUAAUUUUUUUAGAGCUUGUUCUAUACUAAGCACUGUGCUAAGCCCUGGGAAAUCAAAAGCAAGUGUCAGUCCCUUUUUUAAUUGCUCACUAUCUUGAAUAAAAUGACAGAAAUGUAAAUGAGUAGCUGUUCUUAUGUUCUAAAAGCUCUAUGAUGCUGUGAAAUGCAAUGGUACACACAAAAAAAAUUCAUCACACUCAAUGGUAUUAAGAAUUACUUCAUAAAGAAAUGCUUGAACAGCCUUGAAAAAUCUUAGAAGAUGCUAAGUUUUAUGAACAGGAAUUUGGACUUUAUCCUUAAUGUCAGUGUUUCUGAAAAUGUGGGAAAAAUCACUUUGGCUAUUAAAGAUAACACUUCUGUGCUUGACUCUAGAUAAUAAGAACCUCUGUGGCACAAACCAGGAAUUUUUAACAAAAGUAAUUUCCUAAAGUCCGAGAACUCUGGAAUUAGUAACAAAGUAUCACCAAAGGAUUUUGAUGAGGUUUAUGGUAACAUCAACUAACUGUUAAUCCUCGUUUGGCCUCUGCUCAGUCAGUUCUACCCAACUGGUCUCUUCUUGGAUGUUCUUAACGUCCUCCUCAUCUUGAGCUCCACAAGCACCAAGUCAGUCACUGUGGCCUUCAGUAGGCCUCUGCAUCAUCCACCAGGCCAUUCUGAUCUUCCACUACUUGGUCUCCAUUCCUAGGGAUCCCAGUUCUAUUAAAUAGAUUGAUCAGAUCAUACACACAAAGUUCACUAUGUCCAUGCCAUUUGGUCUUAAUCUGGGCCUUGAUCUUCUUGGCACGUGCACUUUCUAAAGGCCCAUAAUCCUCUUUACAGUUAUGUUUCCUGCAGAUAUCUUUCUAUGUUACUAAUGAAAUUACUCCUUCAUCAAUUUUAUACAGUCAUGAAUAAGAAAUGUUGAACAAAAAUACUUCAUGUGGCUACGUAAGCUGAGAGAUAUUUGACAGUAACACAUAAGAAUUAUCAGGAAGUGGUAUGCAGGCGCCUGGGAAAAGGACUUUCACGAUCAUGUCAGGUUGGAAAGUGUCUUUCUAUCAAAGGAACAACCAAUGUUAUUCAAUGCAGAGGGAUUUCACAGAGAUACAAGCAUUCAGAACAAAGAAAGAGAGCAAGCUAUGAUAAACCCUCCAAGAGGAAAGUCCUCUAGAGGGACAGAUAGCAGCCAUUUUCAAACAAGCCUUUUCAAGUCCCAGAACUAAAUUGAAAUUUCCAGUAGGAAUUAAUCAGAGGAGAAAGCUAUUCACAGUGUUGAUGAAGCUUUCCUAUUAUCAACAUGAACUUUGAACAGGACUAACAAAGAACUGAAAUGUCUGCAAUUAUAAUGAGAAAGGGAAACAUUCAAACACAGACAUCUUGGGAUUUAGAACAGAUGGGACUUAGAAGAGACUCACUGGAUGACUAAAAACCAGAACAAGAGAAAAGUAGCAGGGCAGAGAUAUUUCCCUAAGGUUUUUGCCCAUUGUUUAGUGAAAAUGUACUAAAAAUUUAACAUCAGAACCAUACUAUGUAUUGGGGGAAGUUUUUUGUGUAUAGUUUAUAAUCAUGCUUAUUUGAGUCACUAGGGAAAUUGUAUCUUAUACAUUCUACAGUAAAGUUGUAGUUACUCAAAGUCCUCUGAUUGUCUUUAGAAAAUCCUGAUUUAAGAUAAUAAUAAUAAUACAUUCCAGAAUUUUGUGGACUUAACAAAAGUCCUUGACCAUCAAGGACAGGCCAGAUAAACAUUGAGAUCUGAACUUUAAUCAGGCCUACAGUGACUCUCAUACAGCCUUAAAUUCAUCUCAACCACAAGCAUGAAAAGAUUAAGCUAACUGGCUUAAGAUGUUACAUAGACUGUCACUAUCACCUCAACAUAUCUACACAGGGCAUGAACUUCCUGGGCAAACUUGAGUUGUGUUACCUGGUCUCUCUGAGAAGCCAGAAGCUCUGAUCAUCUUAUCCACUAGAAUCUGGGGAGGGAAGUGGCUGAGGCUCCUAACAGGUGAGUUCAAUGGAGGCCAUAAUAAAUCCUGACCCUCAUUCUUAGUGGAGGCUGAACUGGACAGAGGUGUUAGAGAGUGUUCAGCAUGAACAUCAGAAUCACCCAGAGGGUUUGUUAAGUCAUAAAUUGCUGGAUCCCACUUCAGAGUUUUUGAUUCAUCAAGUCUAGGAUGGAGCCUGAAAACAUGCAUUUACAAUAAUUUCUCAGGUAACGCUGAUGCUACUUACCCAGAUACCGUACUUGAAGAAUCACUGUGUUAGGAGUGAGGUGAUAGCAGCUUAGGCCCUGGGGUUAAGUGGGACUGAGUAAAUGUGGGGAGACACAGGAACCAGGUCCAAUGCAGAUGUGUUCCAUUCAUUCAUAGACAUCCUUAAGUUGAUUUUACAUCAACUUGGUUAUCCAAAGUUAUGCUAUAUAGUGUGACCUGGAAAAAGCUAACAAGACUGUCCUUUCAUUCAAGACACGUUUAUUGAGUGCCUACUGUGUAGCAGAUGCUGAGCUAGGCACUAGGCAUUCAGAAAUGAAACAUGAUCUUGCUGUUAUAAAGAGAAUUCUAUUUUGAGAUGUUUAAAACAAUGAUUCUUCCAUCCCCAUAAAUCAUGUUGCCUCUGGCUUCUGAUUUAAUGGCUUCUUUUCAUUUCUGAGGGAAGUCAGAUGCUGCCUGUCUGGAUCUUUCUAUCAAAUUGCCUUCUGCAUGUGUCCAUCCGAUGAGCUACUACUCUGUGAGGCACCAUAGUCCUUCUUGUUAUCUUUCAUCU
rnacentral:lncRNA from 10 species